UAUAAAAUCGCUUCCGAAAAUUCAAAUAGAAUAAGUUUGCGUUAAUUUUGUACUGCAGAAGUACCCUGUGCUUCUGUUCUCUCUGCAUCAGAAAUGGGUUUCCUGAUAACUGGAGCUCACUGUGGCUGUGCCCCCACCUACUAUCAGCUGCAGAGGUGCAGAAUGAGGUGAAGAGAAAGAAGAGGGCAGGAGGAGGAGCUGGAGAAAGAUGCCAGACUGUCUGGAAUGAGAAAGGAGAAGAGAGGCAUCUCCUAGCAAUGGAGCCAACAUCCUUGCAGCCUCACAACUAUCCCAGGACGCACAACCUGUAAGAGAUUUACUUUUCCCUCAUCAUCCCCUCCCACCCUUCAGACUCUGGUUGGUUCAUCUUGUUCACUUACUGCCUUUUGUCGUAAUCCAGACCCAGACCAUACAAAGACUUUGGCAUAGAAGUAACUUUACCCACUUUGACACCUUUGACACUAACGGGAUGUUGAGAGUUUGUGAAAUCCUGGCUCUAACUGUGAGCUGUUGGGUCUGUUUACUCAGUGUCUCUACAGAGAGCAGCACAGCGGGGCCUCGUCCUUCAUAGGCAGAAAUAGAAAUAAUAGUAAAAUAAUUUUAUCAGUGUGGAAAUUGAGGCGGGGGGAAGGUUGGCUCCAUGGGCCAGAUUCACUCCUGUACCGGUGAAAGGAGAGAGGGGAGGGGCCAUUUGUGACUCUGCUGUUCUGUGGCUGCAGGGGCCGGUGCAGACCUUGGCACAGGCUGAGGAAGUUCUGAAGCAGCCAGAGUUACAUCCCUAUGACAAUGGCCCCCGUGUGUCUUGCCCAGUGUGCAGAGUGUCAGAGGCCCAGCUUUACACGGCCCAUGUCCCUCUAUCCCUCGUCCACCCCCUCCCUCUUCCACCCGCCCUCACCACCCCCACCCCAUUCCCAGCCCUCUCAGGAACACGCCUUGUGUGUGCAGCUGCCGUGGAGGAGGCACCAGAGGCUCCUGUGCUGGAGGGAUCCCUCACCGUGGGGGAGGGGCUUUCUCCUUCCCCGCAGCCCAUUUGGCCCAGACUAGCUGUCACACGGGACCAGAGCGGAGUGAUGGGCUCGGUCCACCUUUGAGCUAUGUGCCCUAUGGCUGGUGAUGGGUGAAGGGCCAAAAAUAGGGUUACCAUCCGUCCGGGUUUUUCAGUGUUAAAUGGCCGUCCAGGGGGGAGAUUUCUAAU